UUGGUGGCCCUGAGUGAGUCACUUAUCUAACUGCUGCUCGCUGGACUGCGAAGGGGAGAUAACAAUUUCUGCUUGACACGAGACAGACAUCGCACCAGGAAAUUAUAUAAGAAAGGAUCCUAUUAUAUCUUUAUUUUUCCACCAAAUUUCACCUUCAAACACAGACAUUUGUGUACAUUUCAAUAAUUCCGGCGAUAAACUUUCAAGGAGAAACGAAUGGCAUCCACAAAGGCGGAGAUCAGCAUAUGGAAUUUGCUGCUCUUCAGAGACCACAGCUCCAGCGCCGGCACCUGGUAACCAAUGGGUUUGAUUUGUCAGCUCUUACAGGCACAAACAGUUCCCAGUACACCAACUUACAAAAUGCAGAGACUUGGAAGCUUCAACAGGACAUGCAGCAUUCCACGCAUCAGUUGUGUGUGAUUGAUGGAGAUCUCUUCAGCACCUGGUCUGUAGAAGGGCAUCUGAGAUGAGCCAGUCCCAUUCUGCUUUGAUGGUGGUAAAGUCCUUGGUAUCAGCAGAACAGCAUGGAGCUAGCUGUGUGCCCAUCCUGCCCUGAUGCUCAGAGCAGCACGCUGGGAUGCAUGAGAUUCUCUGCAGCUGUGUGAAUGCCUUGAAAGCAAUGGUCAGGUUCCUCUGGUUCAUGGGCUGCAGAGGAGGAACCCAGCGGAGGAGCCCUGCUCUGCCGCCGGCGUCGGUCUCCUGCUCGGUAUCUCACCCAGACACAGAUAAGCGAAAAAGCAGAGGUAUUGGUAGCUCCAGGAUCGCUGCACCCUAGUGAGGAAAGGAGUUCGGCUGAUGUAGAAAUCACUGCAAGCUGAAGGCCUUCAUUAACAUCUGAGAAGUGUUGCUUGCUGCUCUGUGCAUUAUUUUUGGUGAUGGCAGCCUGCGCUGUGACCAGAUGUGCUUUUAGGCGGUGUGCAUGCAUGCACGCAGCAAGGGUCUGACCGCAGGUCUCUGGGGAGGCGAUGGUGCAGUAACAGCCUCUCCUCUGGAGCUGCCUUCCAAGCUGUGUCUCCUGUGAGCCAGCUGUGACAGACGCGGUGGCUGAACUGCAGAAAUGAGUGCAAUGGGGAAAGGCCUCAUAAUGGCCAAGAUGAAAAAUGUGUUAGUGCAGAGCAAUGAAGUGAUGGUAAAUCUGAGAUGUAGGCACCAGUCACCACUUGUGCCACGCCGUUGUCAGAAGGGUGCUGAGGUAUCUGAGAGAGCAGGCUGAGAAAGCGAGCUAAUUAUACCACAUUAUUCACUUCUGCUCAUUAGCUAUAGUACAAAGGCUCUGCUUUUUAUGUAUAUAUUAAAGUGCCGAGGAGUACAGGAAUAGAUAACUUAAUGUUCCUUUUGUCUCACUAUUUGGUUUGGCUUAGACAGAAAAAAAAACGCACUUUCAUGGUCCUGCAGUUUUCCAUCCUACAGAAUUAGGGAUGUCAUCAUAUGUCACCCCAAGCGAACUGCAAAAGGCCGCUCACUCCCUGAUGCCUUGCCAAGCCGAGCUCAAGCAAAGCUUCUGUGCUUUAUAACAGGUUCUGACCCGUGUCUGCACAAGGGGUGUGAAGGCAGCCUGCCUUCCCCUGUGCUCAGCACAGGCACUGCUUCAUGGGAUAUGCUUCCCCCGCCUCUAAGUCCCUUUCAGCACACACCUCAAAUAGCUCCAGAGUCAUUUGGCAGCCUCAAGGCAACACCCCGCUGCCAUCUCCCUGGGUGCACUGUGCCCUCUCACUGCCCCUUUCUGCUCCACCAUUUUGGGAGUGCAGAUCCCACCUGCUCCCCGCUGAGCUUCACUGCCACAGAUUCUGCUGUUUGAUAAACUCGGGGUGCUGUUACAGCACGUCUGCUCUUACAGUCCUGCUAUUGCAUUUAGAUCUGAGAAUGAGCCAUUAGGACAAGAUGAGUGGGAAAGCAGAAAAUUUGUUUAUUGAAAUUAUUUAUAUGCGAGAAAUUCCUGACUUUCAAAGUGGAUCUCCAGUGCACGAGUUGCAGAGCAUGCACUAAUCCAAGAGAAGAGGAACAGGUAAUGCACUUCUGUGCUUGGAUGACGGAAAUCAAAUUCGUGCAUUGAAAUCUUCCCUUUCCCAUGAUGACAAUUGCCUUGCCAUUCUAAUUAUGUGCAUCACAAAAGCCACUGCUUCAGUAAAACACCCUGCAGCUACAAAAAGGGAUAGGCUGGAGAAGCACACAUCACCAAUAAGUGGCACUGAGCAUCUACUCCAUUUCUCACACAGGUUGGCAUAUUUCUCAGUGGUCCAUCUGGUAGAAUUGGAUGGCAUUUAUCAGGAAAUAAUCCAAUUGUGGCAUGCCAAAACCUGAACAUGAAAAGUACUUGUGCCUCGUGUCAAUCAUUCACCCUCUGACAGUUCAAUAAACAUCCUUUCUGUGAUAGUUUUCAGGAACACUGACACCCAAAAUGCUGGAAACAAUGCCAGAGCUGGAAACGACAAUGCUUCUGUGAAACAUCACGAGAGACCCACACAACCUGGCAUGCAUUUUGCCAAGUGUUGCUUAGCAAUACAGCGUCUGUGGGCCUCUGGUGGGCAGGAUUAUCUGCAGAGGGAGAGGCAUUCACACCUCUGAUGAAAAUAUUCCCAAAUAAAGGAGUGCAAAGAAGAGAAGUGCAGCGUGGAGCAUGGGAUGCUGCAGCCACAAUACGCAACUGGAGGCUUGCAAGAAAACAUCUCACCACUCACACUUCUUCCACAGGUGCCAAGCUGUGUGCAGCACGUGCCUUGUCCCAUGUGGCAGGGCUCUCCCAGUCAGCAGUCGUGUUGCUGCAUUGUGAGCAGCUCCCACAGAAGGCACGUGCAGGCAGAACCUUGUGUGGGCUGGGCUGGGGGCACCAUGACUGAGGACGAUGGCAUGCAGAGGGAGCCCAGACCUGGAGCUGGGGUGUAAAUAAUCAGCAUCACUUGUAAGGAAGUGUGAAACAGGAACAGGCCUUUGACAGCCUAGGUGUUGGUAAUAAUAGGAUCACACAAGGAGCUCGUGGUAAGAUAAAAGAAAACUUGCUCGCUGCCAAAAUUCCCUCUCCCCAAAUGACUCGGUUUACUGUUUACUUCUCCAGCUCCCCUGUCCCACCCCUGAAAAGUAAAGGCAGCUUUUCCAGAACAGCAAACAAAGCUCCAUGGCUGGAGGGAGAGAGCACUACUUUAUAUUGCAAGCACCACUUUGCCACCGACAAGGAAAUGGAAUUGAGGAAAGUGAAAUAACUUGCCCAAAGACACUGACAGACCUGGGAACUAAAUUCAGGACUCCUUAAUGUGCCAAAUCCUGAAGCAGACACUCCUGAGGUCUCACCAAAUCACCUUUUAUGUGCGUGCCCAAUAAACAGGAAUGAGAGUAACUCAUGCAUAUCAGAUAAGGGGUUUUUGUCUGUCUCAUGUUCAGGGUUUUCAGAUCCAGGAAUCAGCUGAUACACAGAGUAUGCAACCUUCCCUUCCAGCAUUAUGAAGGUAGCCCCAGUGCAGACACGCCUGCCUAGCCCACCCAGACAGAGGUGUGGGAGGCUGCUGGGGAUGGAACUUUUGGGGCAUUUCCCCAAAACUGCCUUUUCCCCUCUGGCUCAGGGCUGCCUGGCUCAGGGCUGCACUGACAGGGCUCUUUCCAACAGACAGAGCUCCACACCAAAACCCAGAGGUGUGCAGAUUCCUGUAUAUACUUAUGACAGUUUUCCAGGGAGAAGUGCAAGCUAACUCCAUCAGUGCCUUUGAGCCUUGACUUGUUAAUUGGCAUUACUUCUAAUUCCCAGCUAUAUUUUAAGGUAUGAACCUAAGGAAUUUUAAAGUCAUUAUGUGGGUGAGGGACUGAUAAAAAUAAAUCCUUCAGGUUUACAAGUGGCAGUGAGGGAAUAAAAGGUGUUAAGAAAUCCACAAGUUUUCAGCCAAUUGGUUCAAAAAAGUAUCCGGGUGGACUGCAGCUUCUGGAGAAAGGUCAUUGAUACUACUCUGAGUACCUCGUUUUAUGAACUUUAUGCAUCACAUAAAAUAAAUUUAAAGCAGUUUAAUUUAACAGUCUAAUUAGUCAUGGCUUUUUCAUCUUGUCUAUUUAACUAUACACAGAACAAAGAGAAAGGCUCAAUGCCAAAUUUGGAGCUGGCACAAAUCAUCUCUAUGAGUCAAAAAAGCCGUUCCUGCUCAUCCAGGCUGGAUGUAGAUGCAGUUGGCCAAAUUUAUCCCCAGGGAUAACACCGCUAAUGUCUGGAGAGUUGUACCGUGCAUGGAUCAGAGUGCCAGGAAUUAACUCCCCGUGGAGCAGAUCUCUUGGUCUCCACAUUCAGAGACCAGGCUAGUGAAAAUGUGAGUUAAAUACUCUGGAGGAAUGACUUAAAAACUCCAGAUAGUUUGGAACACAACUCCUCUGUGCGUUGGCUUCACAAGCACGCACACAAGCAUUCCUCAUCACUUCAGUUUAAUUUCCAUUCCCUUUCACUAAAUUUUACUGUUCAUACAAUCUCAGGCAAAUGGCAGUCACACGAAUGCAUCCUCCACUGUGCCUUGUGCUUCUGCUCCUCUGUGUAAACCACAGCAGUAUGUAGAUCUUGG